CUGGAAGUGGAUUACGGCCGCUGAAAUACGACAUGGUGAUGCAGUUACAAUUGCGUCUAACAUGGUUCGCAUGGUUCAUAAGUCCAAAAUCAACGACUAUAUUGCUUCAGAUUGAAAUCUAUUCGAUUGCAAGAAUCCUCGCGCCAACACUUUCAGACGCUUCAGACCACCAGGACUUUACUAGAUUCCCCUUCAGACACACAUGACAAGUCUUCAAGUUCUGCUGUAGGAUGGCGUGUCUAGUCCUGAGUCAUCUCUUGACGUGACUCUGAUUUCCUGGCUAUCAUGGCCUACAGGAACGUCGGUCUCUGCUCAGUCCAUAGUACAUGGCUGCCAUAUCCUCCCUUCUACUGCCUGGCCUCGGGGUCCUGGAGAGGGAAUGGCCCGUCAGCACAGGAUAUGUGUAAUCAGCUGAUAGGGGAACCAUCAGAAGAUCUGGGCACGGAGGGUAAAUGGCACCCUCUAACCCAAACAAAUGCCAGCGGAAAUGAACACUGAUGACUGUCGUUCAGCUGAAUCAUGCAGUGGAGAGGUGAAAGUUUUACAGCCAUUCAUCUAGUAGUUCAAGGGGCACGCUUUUGAGCGCACGUCUUCUGAAGGACAGGCGUGUCCGUGACUCUCUUCCAGGGUAUUUUCCAGCCGCCAUGUUCACUUGGCCCGACGACAGCAGAGUCGACAGCAAAUGAAUUUAGAGCUUGUUACAGGCC
ensembl:lncRNA